UGUCCCGCCGUGCCGCCCCGCCAUGGCGGCGGGUCGCGGCUCCCGCCGAGGGGUGCACCUGUGCGAAGGGACGGGGGCCAAGGGAAAGGCCGCUGGCCUCCGUCCCGGCGGGGAAGCGGCUCCGGUACUGGCCGCGGAGAGAUCAUGUCGACCUAAUGAUCCCAUGAGGCUUACAGCUGAAAGCCAGAACACUGCAUUUGAAAUAUCUCUAUAUUAAACUUUAUUUGUAGGACUCAGGUGGAGACCUCCCUGCCCAGCAUGAAAACUGAGCUCAUACCAGUGGUACUGCUAAAGCUAGCUGAUGAUUUCAUCAUCCACACUUCCAGACCGCUCAAGCUUGGACAGCAAGCUAGGCUGUACUAUGGAGGAGGUGGCCAUGAAAAGCAAAGAGACAAAUUGCUUCACUGAUGUAUCUGUUGUGACUGCUAAAGAAAAAUGGGAAACCAGGCAAUUACCAAGGUAAUUACUGAUUUCACCGUUUGCUGCCUCUCACAGUAAUAUUACAUGUUCAUCCUCCAUUUUUGAAAGUUUAAUCGUUAGACCAUAAUAAAACACAAUAAUCCUUUAAAUUUAAAUAUUUUUUGUCAAGUUAUUUUGAGAAAUAUGGUUCUCCAUGUUUUAAAAUUUUUAACUCAAUUUUCAUGAGUAGGAAAGGAAAGCACAUUGAACUUCUCAUGUAUUCCAAUAUAAUUUCCCAAACUUGGGUAUAGCUCGAAGCUUUGUCUGGAAAAGCCAAUUAAGGCUGAUCCUGGCACUUUACAGUAACAGCAACAAUAGCAACUUACCUUAAGACCAAAGACACCAAAAUUAUAGUCAAGGAUUCUUAAUGACAAUGCAUCUCUAAUGCAGGAAUAUGCAUGUCUGCAUUAAUUUUGAGCUUAAAUUUUAUCUGUACUGAGUGAAAUAAAAAUAACCUCUGACAUAGAACUCUCCUCCAUUUUGAAUUUGACUUGGGCAUUUAAAAAAAUAGCUCUCUCUAUCUGUCAGUGAGGACACAUUCAAAUAUCCAGGAUUGUAGUAGUCUUUUCCCCCACUUCAAUGUAAGCAAAGUGACCAGACAAUAUCAGAUCAUAAGGAGAACAAAGAGACUUUAUCAUCUAAGGUUAUACUAUCCAUGACUGGUGGACAUAUGUUGGCAGGCUUGAAAGAAAACAAUAACUCUGCAGGAUUUUAGACUUUUAUUGAAAAUUUAUGAAGCUAGCAAAUCAAAGUCAGUUAAAAUCUGAACGUAACUAUCCCAGCUGUAGGAAAACUAACUACAAUGAAACAAUACCGUUACAAUUCAAACAAUGAUAAUCAAAUUAAUUGUUGUAUAAAUAAAAUGCUAUGAAAUCGCAAAUUAUUUUGAGCAGUGGGUGAAAUCAUCAAGGAAACACUGUAUGGUUUAAAUAAUGAAUGUGUGUAACACUCAGACAAGGGCUUGAAGUAUGCCCUCAGUUCUUGAACAAGUGGUAUAUGAAGUACUGAAAUAUGAGUAUAUACAAAUAUAUGGAAUAUGCAUCAACAAAAGAGAAAAGUAGUGAGUUUAGACUUUUUUUUUUUCUUGUGUUUCCCACUGGUUACCCUUAGAUAGUUUCCUGCCCAUCAUUUAAGUCUUCUAAUCCCAUUUCAGGAGCAAAUUUGGUUAGGAUUUGAGAUGUGCUGCUUUAAGGGGGUCCCAUGCUCUUAUUCAUUAUGGUCUGUCUCAGACCAGAUUUCUCAUGAUCUCUCUGGUGUAAAUGAUUCAGUAGUUAAGGAAAAAGAUAUUUGAAUAUCUUUGAAAUAUGAGGGUUAGAGCUGUAAUCAGCCAAUUUCAUUCCGUUGCUAAUUCAUACCAUGCAAUUUACUUUAAUGACAAGACUCCUCAGGGUAGCACAUGAUGUGACUUCUUGGUGUUCUCAUUUGGCCUGAAGACACUGGUGUUUUCUAGAGAAAACCAUACGUGCCAAGUUUCCUACCUCAGUGAGAAAGAACAGUCCAUACUCAGUGGCACAUACGCAACUGGACAUCAGUCUAGCAUGCAGCAGACUUAAAUUCAGAAUAUAAAAAUCCACUCCAAAAUAAGUGACUGCAGAUAUUUUUUUUUGUCUGUCUGCCAGUUUUUUUGUGAGUAGUAAAAAUCUCUUUUAAGGAAUGAGCAAUCUGCGCAUGUAUAUACAAUAUUUAUAUAAACUAUACAUAUACUUUUUCUAAACAUAUUUAGAAAAAGUAAUAAACCUUGAAAAAUAAAGGAAUUGGAAGUUUAUGCAUGUAAGAUUCAUUCCAGUAUAUAUCUCUCCAGCUACACAUGAUGGCUUGACCUAUGUGUCUAUGCAAGUUUUGAAAAUUAACUAAUUAUUUUGAAAAUCUUCUAUAGAAUGCAGAGUCUGGAGAGAAGGAGUGUUAGCACACACAGAGUUUCUUAGGGAACAGAAGAAGAACAUUUGUAAACAAGGAAUGUGUAACUUCUGAGUUACAUUUGAAUAAAAUAGUCACUUAAAUAGUUGCUGCUCUACUUUGCUUUCCUGUAAAUAAAUUGUGAAAAACUCCAACCUAUUGUUUUCCUCAGUUUACACUGUUACAAAUAAAUAAGAGAGAGCUUAAAGACUCUAACCAGCUCUCCAGCAUUAAACUCUGCAAACUCUCCAGGUAAAGUCUUGCAGCAUAUCUUGGA